rnacentral:rRNA from 1 species
ACGAACGCUGGCGGCGUGCCUAAUACAUGCAAGUCGAACGAAGCUUUCUUUCACCGAAUGCUUGCAUUCACCGAAAGAAGCUUAGUGGCGAACGGGUGAGUAACACGUAGGCAACCUGCCCAAAAGAGGGGGAUAACACUUGGAAACAGGUGCUAAUACCGCAUAACCAUGAACACCGCAUGAUGUUCAUGUAAAAGACGGCUUUUGCUGUCACUUUUGGAUGGGCCUGCGGCGUAUUAACUUGUUGGUGGGGUAACGGCCUACCAAGGUGAUGAUACGUAGCCGAACUGAGAGGUUGAUCGGCCACAUUGGGACUGAGACACGGCCCAAACUCCUACGGGAGGCAGCAGUAGGGAAUCUUCCACAAUGGACGAAAGUCUGAUGGAGCAACGCCGCGUGAAUGAAGAAGGCCUUCGGGUCGUAAAAUUCUGUUGUCAGAGAAGAACGUGCGUGAGAGUAACUGUUCACGUAUUGACGGUAUCUGACCAGAAAGCCACGGCUAACUACGUGCCAGCAGCCGCGGUAAUACGUAGGUGGCAAGCGUUGUCCGGAUUUAUUGGGCGUAAAGGGAACGCAGGCGGUCUUUUAAGUCUGAUGUGAAAGCCUUCGGCUUAACCGAAGUAGUGCAUUGGAAACUGGAAGACUUGAGUGCAGAAGAGGAGAGUGGAACUCCAUGUGUAGCGGUGAAAUGCGUAGAUAUAUGGAAGAACACCAGUGGCGAAAGCGGCUCUCUGGUCUGUAACUGACGCUGAGGUUCGAAAGCGUGGGUAGCAAACAGGAUUAGAUACCCUGGUAGUCCACGCCGUAAACGAUGAGUGCUAAGUGUUGGAGGGUUUCCGCCCUUCAGUGCUGCAGCUAACGCAUUAAGCACUCCGCCUGGGGAGUACGGUCGCAAGACUGAAACUCAAAGGAAUUGACGGGGGCCCGCACAAGCGGUGGAGCAUGUGGUUUAAUUCGAAGCAACGCGAAGAACCUUACCAGGUCUUGACAUCCACUUAAAGCCAUAGAGAUGUGGUGUGAGCUUGCUCGAAGUGAGACAGGUGGUGCAUGGUUGUCGUCAGCUCGUGUCGUGAGAUGUUGGGUUAAGUCCCGCAACGAGCGCAACCCUUAUUGUCAGUUGCCAUCAUUAAGUUGGGCACUCUGGCGAGACUGCCGGUGACAAACCGGAGGAAGGUGGGGAUGACGUCAAAUCAUCAUGCCCCUUAUGACCUGGGCUACACACGUGCUACAAUGGACGGUACAACGAGUCGCUAACUCGCGAGGGCAAGCUAAUCUCUUAAAGCCGUUCUCAGUUCGGAUUGCAGGCUGCAACUCGCCUGCAUGAAGUCGGAAUCGCUAGUAAUCGCGAAUCAGCAUGUCGCGGUGAAUACGUUCCCGGGCCUUGUACACACCGCCCGUCACACCAUGAGAGUUUGUAACACCCAAAGUCGGUGGGGUAACCUUUUGGAGCCAGCCGCCUAAGGUGGGACAGAUGAUUGGGGUG